GAGGGGGUCCUAGCGGAGAGGAGAGGAGGCUGGAGGGGCGUGAAGCGCAUGUGGGCUGCGAUGGGGUUGGGGAUCCAAUCCGACUGAGAGCGCUGAGUGGGCGUGGGGGCAUCUGCUGUCAGUCACUCUAGCAGCUACAGAAAGGGCAGAUCUAAAGAACUCUCCUAGGGAAAAAAUGCCGUCAUGGCAGCUGUAGCUAAAUGUACUCAAUAGGAACCGAAAAGGUAGCGAUCUCUCCCAGAUGAACCGAAAGCAAGGGGUAUUUCUAGCCCUCAUUACUUCCUUCCACUUCACUCUUGCUUGGUGUGGCUCACGUUGGAGCACCGUCCCCACGGGUCGCGGGUUCGAUUCUGGUCAGGACACAAACCCAGGUUGUGGGUUCGAUUCCCAUCAGGCGCGUGAGGGAGGCAAAGGAUCAUCUAUGUUCUCUUUACACAUCACACCAACAUUUCUCUCUCCCUCUCCCGUCCUCUCUCAAACAACAACUACAAACCACUGGUGGAAAACGUGGGAUGGAUACAUUCUACCUGAGGAAUGCCCAACAAUUCAUAGUCCUUAUCGUCAGAAUCGCUGACUUGACUCCGCUCUGAAAUCCCAGGAGAGGAAAAUGAAUCUGCUUCCCAGAGAGGAAAGUAAAAAUGCAACGUCAGUUCUCAGUGUCUCCUGGGAAUGCAGGAGGCGUGAACACAGAAUCCUGCCAUCACCAUGAGAACAAGCCCAAUGGAGGAUGAAAGGCCCCAUGGGGCAAAGCUGAGUCAUCACUGCUGAGGCCAUCCUUGACCAGACAGCCCUCAGGUGACUGCAGGGGCACAAGCAAGUCCAAAUGAGAUCGGCCAGGCUUGGUCCAGAUCAGCAGAACCACCCACCCAACUGACAUAUUCACUGGAAAUAAUACAUUGUUACUAUUUCAAGUCACCACUUGUUUAUCUAUUGCUGCAUAACCACCACCCCAAAACUAGUAGCUGAGACCACCACCAUUUACUAUUUUUCAUAAUUCUCUGAGUCAACUGGACCCAGCUGGGCACUGGCCAGAGUCACUCACUUGGCAUCUGAGCAGGAAGGUCUGAGAAGUCUUCAUUCACACAUCAGGCAUCUCAGUCUGCCGCCGCAUGACCUCUGCCUUUCCAGGUCACAGGGUUGGGCUUCCUUACAGCACGUGGUCCUUUCAGCAAGAUGGCCAGACUUCUUACCUGGCAGCUGGCUUCCAGGGGGGAAUGGACACUGCCAGUCUUCUUAAGGACUGAGCUCGGGAGUUCUAGAACACCCACUUCAUUCUAUUGGACAAAGCAGUCACAAGACCAACCAGACUUAACAGGAGAGGAAAUAGACUCACACAUUUGGUUUGAGGCAAAGCAUGUGUGUAUAAGAAUAAAAGGGCCUUAUCACAGCCAUUUUGGGGAGACUAUCUCGCCUACUAAGUUUUGGGGGGGUGGUUAUACCCUAUUAGCUACAUUCUUCUAAGCUAUGGGACCUUGGGCUAGUUAUAAAACCUUUCUGGACCUUUCAAUGAAGUGAGGGAGGUUGAGUUUCUGUAUUUAACUUUUUCUUUAGUGAUGUCUCCAGGGCAAACUGAAGUCCCAUACUAUCCAGAAAGGAGUUGCCAGGGGGAAUUUGUGGAGCAUUGGUCAGCUAUGGGUACUUCUAGUAGGUCACCUGUAUCUAUUCUUCAACUAGACACAAUCCUCAAGAAUCCACAUGAAAGGCAUGCAUUGUGGCGGCUCCAAGCAGCUUGGGUGGUGGGAGAAGGAGCAGGGGCCGGGCAGCCCAGGCUCGCAAAGGCACCCAGCAAGCACUGGCCCAGCAGCCACCCUCCCCAAGAGGAUGGUCAGCACCACACCACUGAGGGGGCGGUGAAGAGAUCCAUGGGUUGUCAGCUAUACCUGCUCCUGCAAAAGUGGAAAUGAAGAAAGAAAAAAAAAAGGCAGCAGGAAAGGAUAAAUCUGCAGACAAAAAAGUACAAACAAAGGGAAUAGGGGAAAAACAGGCUGAAGUGGCUGGCCAAGAACUUAAAGAUCUACCUGCGGGAAAUGGAGAAACUAAAAAUGAGGAGAAUCUAGCUUCAGGUGAAGCAGAAGAGAAAGAAGCCAAGUCUGAUUAGUAUCAUAUUAAUCAUAUUAAUCAUAUUAUAAGACAUAUAAUACCAUGUCUUAUCAGUGGUCCCUGU